CAUUUGUAUGCUUCAAUACGAAC
rnacentral:snRNA from 1 species